rnacentral:tRNA from 2 species
GACAGGGUAGCCAAGCUGGAAAGGCAGCGGACUGCAACUCCGCCAUCGUGGGUUCGAAUCCUGCCCUUGUCU